rnacentral:rRNA from 1 species
UACAGAGGUCUCAACCGUUGUUCGGAUUCAUUGGGCGUAAAGGGUGCGUAGGCGGUCGCGCAAGUCGGAUGUGAAAUCUCAGGGCUCAACCCUGAAACUGCAUUCGAUACUGCGUGGCUAGAGUGCUGGAGAGGAGAGUGGAAUUCCUGGUGUAGCGGUGAAAUGCGCAGAUAUCAGGAAGAACACCCGUGGCGAAGGCGGCUCUCUGGAACGCAACUGACGCUGAGACGCGAAAGCGUGGGGAGCAAACAGG